rnacentral:rRNA from 1 species
AACGAACGCUGGCGGCAUGCCUAACACAUGCAAGUCGAACGAGACCUUCGGGUCUUGUGGCGCACGGGUGCGUAACGCGUGGGAACCUGCCCUUAGGUUCGGAAUAACUCCCCGAAAGGGGUGCUAAUACCGGAUAAUGUCCUCGGACCAAAGAUUUAUCGCCUUUGGAUGGGCCCGCGUUGGAUUAGCUAGUUGGUAGGGUAAAAGCCUACCAAGGCGACGAUCCAUAGCUGGUCUGAGAGGAUGAUCAGCCACACUGGGACUGAGACACGGCCCAGACUCCUACGGGAGGCAGCAGUGGGGAAUAUUGGACAAUGGGCGAAAGCCUGAUCCAGCAAUGCCGCGUGAGUGAUGAAGGCCUUAGGGUUGUAAAGCUCUUUUACCCGGGAUGAUAAUGACAGUACCGGGAGAAUAAGCUCCGGCUAACUCCGUG